rnacentral:rRNA from 1 species
UACGGGGGAGCAAGCGUUGUUCGGAUUUACUGGGCGUAAGGGCGCGUAAGGCGGUCAGCACAAGUCAGUUGUGAAAUCUCCGGGCUUAACUCGGAAAGGUCAACUUGAUACUGUGCGACUAGAGUGCGGAAGGGGCAACUGGAAUUCUUGGUGUAGCGGUGAAAUGCGUAGAUAUCAAGAGGAACACCUGCGGCGAAGGCGGGUCUCUGGACAGUUCCUGACGCUGAGGCACGAAGGUCAGGGGAGGCAAACGGG